AUGUAUUUAUAUGUGAGUAUUGGAUAAAAAGAUAAGAAGAAAAAAAAUAUGGUGUGACAUUUAUUCCUUUUUUAUAUACAACCGAUUAACAUUUUUCCAUUUAGUAGCAUAGGAGUUAACACUUAACAACUAGGUCACUUUUUCUUCCCACUUCCUAAAUGGCAUUUUAAGUCCAUAAUUGUGCUGUGUGAGUUGAACCCAAGCCUCACGAUUUUCUCAUCCUCACGAAAGGUUGGCUGUGAAAGACUUGCCUUCUCUAGUGGCAGUUGCUGCCCAAAUGUUAGUUAUGGACAAUUUUACAUCCUGCUGAAAUUAUUCCAUCUCAU